UCAGCUAAGGAGGAAGCACCAAAUUGACCAAAUAGAAUGUACAUGGCUGAAUAUUAACUUCAGGGAUAUUUUAGCUGUUUGUCCAAGUUGGUUGACAACAGCCAGUGACACAGAUCUCAGACUUAUCAUGGCGUCGCUAUUUGACCAAUAUGAGCAAGCUUCAUCAAGAAAGCCGAAGACAUUCACUCAACGACAAGCCAUGCCAGAACCAAUUGCCACUGGAUUUAUAAAUGCAAGGCUUGAAGAUGAUACGCCAGUGUUCAAUAAACAGAGGAUUAACUUUAAUCCACCUGACCCAAUCACUCACUUGUGUGUGUGUAACAACUUCCUGGUUAUGGCCAUGUCCACCAAUAUAUUACUACGCAUAGACUUGGAACAUCCAGAUACUCCUGAUGAGGUGGAGCUACCCAGAACUGCUAAUGAUAAAGUUUAUUCUAUGUUUCUUGAUCCUACCGGCCACCACCUGAUUAUCUCCAUGAACUCUCAAGAAAAUUAUUAUCUUCCAAAAAGUUCGAAAAAAGCUCGUCAGCUCAGCAAAAUGAAGGGGCAUCUGAUUGAUUCAAUAGGCUGGAAUAGACAGAACACAAACAACACAUCCACCAGUGCAAUACUCUUAGGAACCAGUCGAGGGUUGAUAUUUGAGGCAGAGAUUGUCUCUGGGGAAGAGAGGGGAUUCUUCCAAGGCAGUUUAGAACAAUACUGUAAACAGCUGUUCUCGUUAAGUCGUGACAAAACUGAACCAGUUACAGGAUUAGAGUUUGAAAAAAUGACGUCUUCUCUGAAUGAGUACAAAUAUUUCAUCAUAGCGACUACACCUGGACGGCUUUACCAGUUUAUUGGCACUAUUCCAAGUAGCACAGAGCCACCUAUGUUUACUCAUGUAUUCCAAGAUUAUGAAGAUGUACCAGAGAGAUUCCUUGAACUGCCAGGCAACUUUGGUUACAGUAAAUUGUUAAUGUACCAUGCAAAGUUUAGGGAACAACCCAAAUCAUUUGCCUGGAUGACUGGUCCCGGUGUGUACCAUGGCAGCAUUGAUUAUACUGGAGCCAGUGGCCAGGAUUCUGUUACUGUGGAAACCAAGUUGAUGCCAUACCCCAAUGAUGAGGGUGAUAGACCAGUGCCACCUAUGUCCAUUGUACUGACUGAAUUCCAUGUUUUAGUACUUUUCCCUGAUAAAUUGAAGGCCAUGUGUGUAUUGAAUGACCAGCUAAUAUAUGAUGAUACUUUCACAGAUAGGUUUGGCAAGCUCCUAGGUCUGUGUAAAGACCCCUUGAAAGGCACUAUAUGGGCAUAUACCAACCAAGCAGUAUUCAAGUAUAAGGUUAUCAGAGAAUCAAGAGAUGUGUGGCAAAUGUAUCUUGAUGUAGAGAAUUUUGAGGCAGCCAAGAACUAUUGCAAGGAUAACCCAGCAAACAUGGACAGAGUCCUUACAAAAGAAGCAGAAUACAACUUCAAAAAUAAAAAUUUUGGUAAGAGUGCCUUGCUGUAUGCUCAGACACAGAAUAGCUUUGAGGAGAUUGCCCUGAAGUUUAUCCAAGUUGAUGAGAAAAAUGCCCUGAAAUCAUUCCUCAUAAAGAAACUGUCUGGCUUACGACCUCAAGAUAAGACUCAAAUGACAAUGAUAGUAACAUGGUUAGUAGAAAUAUAUCUCAACCAGCUAGGGAUCCUAAAGGAGCAAGAGAAACAGCAGGACAUAUCUGAGAACUACCAGGACCUGCAAGAUGAAUUCCAAAAAUUCCUCGCUCAAACUAAAGUUAAGGAAUGUGUAGAUGGCAAUAGGAACACAAUAUAUGAUUUGAUAGCAAGCCAUGGGGAUGUGGAGGAUAUGGUCUACUUUGCCGUCCUUAUGAAAGAUUUUGAGCGGGUGAUAGGCCACCACUUGCAACAUGAGCAAUAUGAUAAAGCACUGGAGGUCCUGGUCAAACAGCCUGACAAAGAACUUCUCUACAAGUUCUCACCUCUCUUGAUGCAGAAUAUUCCAGAACUUACAGUAGAUGCCUGGAUCAAUACAGGACGUAAUCUAGACCCUAAACGCCUCAUUCCAGCUCUAGUCCAAUAUGACCACCUUAAAUACAAAACACAGGGCAAUGCAGCAAUAAGGUACCUUGAAUUCUGUGUACAGACCCUUGACUGCCAGGAACAGUCAAUCCACAACUAUUUACUCUCUCUCUAUGCUAAACUUAAACCAGAACAACUUAUGACCUAUUUGAACUUUCAAGGACAGGAGUCUGACAGUGUUUGUUAUGAUCUAAAGUAUGCCCUUAGACUAUGCGCUGAACACAAACAUCAGAGGGCAUGUGUACAUAUCUACUCUACUAUGGGGCUAUAUGAAGAGGCUGUGGACCUAGCUCUAAAGUUUGAUGUAGAGCUUGCCAAACAAAAUGCAAAUAAACCCAGUGAGGAGGGUGGCAGUGAUGCUGAGGAACUCCGCAAGAAACUGUGGUUGAGAAUUGCACGGCAUGUAGUGGAAGAAGAGAAGGACAUUAAACGUGCGAUGGAAUUUCUUCAUGAGUGUGAUUUAUUGAAAAUUGAAGAUAUUCUGCCAUUCUUCCCUGAUUUUGUGACAAUAGAUCACUUCAAGGAUGCAAUUUGUACGUCUCUACAAGAAUAUAACCAGCAUAUUGAGUCCCUGAAAGAAGAAAUGGAGGAAGCAACAGAGAGUGCCAAAGACAUAAGGGGAGAAAUACAAGCCUUUAGGAACAAAUAUGCCUUUGUGAAAGGUCAAGAUAAGUGCUCAAGCUGUAAUUUUCCCUUGAUGACUCGCAACUUCUACCUCUUUCCCUGUAUGCAUCGCUUCCACACAGAUUGCCUCGUGGCAGAGGUGACCCCUUACUUAACCAGUGCCAAAAGAUCACAAGUGACAGAGCUACAGCGAAGGUUAGGUACCCAUGAUGGCAGCUCUCCAUCUACCCCUGCCCAGGGCAAAGGUCAAAGUUUAAAGGUGGAGCUGGAUGAGCUGGUUGCCGGGGAGUGUGUAUUUUGUGGAGAUUAUAUGAUUAGGAAUAUAGACAAACCAUUUAUUGAUCCUGCAGAAUACAGUGAGGUGAUCAGUAGUUGGGAGUAGAGACAAACACUAUUCUAUAGGAUGAAAUUUCAGAGCAUUCAACAACCUCUCCAUCGUAUUAUAAGAGCAGAGACAUUGAUAAGAUAACAUUACCCUGAGACGUUUUCUCAAUUGAGUUCAUAAUUUUCAGUCCAAAAUUGGUCAAAAUAUCCAUGUUUAAAGAUUUUCUGAAUUUCCAAUUUCAAGUUUGUUUUUAACCAGGUACAAGAUUAUUCUGGAAUUCUCAACUGAGUCCACUUACCAGUACAAGUACCUUCAACAAUAAUAUAAGUUUAGUGCAUUAUUUGAGAAAAUAGCUCAAAUAGAGGCAAUUCUUUAUUCAUUCACAUGUGUCAGAUACCUUGCAACCAUUCAACGUUCAAUGGCAGCCUGAAAUUAUGAAACCAUUCAUAUAACCAACUUAAAGCUACUUGGUAUAUAAAUUUUGAUGCAGGCCAUCCAUCAAAUGAAAACAUCAACCAUAUGCCAUCCAAAAUUGUUAAUGGCACAAUCCAAAAAUAUUGUUCAAUUGUUUUGCAUAAUAAAUUUCAACAGAAGAAUAUAAGUGAACAAAAGGGUGUUAUAAAAUGGAUCAAUAUCAUAAAUAGUGAUUUGUUUUAAUGAAAUUACAAAAUACUUCUAUACUCUAGGGGCCAGGACAGGACAGAAUUAUCAACGGAAUCACUUUUAUUCUUUCAGGAUCACUACCCCAGCUCUCCACAUGGAUGUUUACAGCACUUCUCAUUGUCUAUUAUAAAAGUUAUAUCCUAAAAAGUAAAAAAUUGAUCCUUUUGGCACAUACUUUGUGCUAAUAUUCAAAGGAUAGGUAUCGAUAUAAUGAACAACAAUGUUUUUCUCUUACCAAUUACUGAAAACAUUCUGUA
rnacentral:misc_RNA from 1 species